UCUGGGUGUGGUGCUGCGCGCCUGUAAUCCCAGCUACUGGGGAGGCUGAGGCAGGAGAAUCGCUUGAACCUAGGAGUCAGAGGUUGCAGUGAGUCGAGAUGGCACCACUGCACUCUAGCCUGGGUGACAGAGCAAGACUCUGCCUCAA
rnacentral:sRNA from 1 species